AUAGGGUCAAGUGAAUAAGUGCAUCAGGCGGAUGCCUUGGCGAUGAUAGGCGACGAAGGACGUGUAAGCCUGCGAAAAGCGCGGGGGAGCUGGCAAUAAAGCUAUGAUUCCGCGAUGUCCGAAUGGGGAAACCCACUGCAUUCUGUGCAGUAUCCUAAGUUGAAUACAUAGGCUUAGAGAAGCGAACCCGGAGAACUGAACCAUCUAAGUACCCGGAGGAAAAGAAAUCAACCGAGAUUCCGCAAGUAGUGGCGAGCGAACGCGGAGGAGCCUGUACGUAAUAACUGUCGAGAUAGAAGAACAAGCUGGGAAGCUUGACCAUAGCGGGUGACAGUCCCGUAUUCGAAAUCUCAACAGCGGUACUAAGCGUACGAAAAGUAGGGCGGGACACGUGAAAUCCUGUCUGAAUAUGGGGGACCAUCCUCCAAGGCUAAAUACUCAUCAUCGACCGAUAGUGAACCAGUACCGUGAGGGAAAGGCGAAAAGAACCCCGGGAGGGGAGUGAAACAGAACCUGAAACCUGAUGCAUACAAACAGUGGGAGCGCCCUAGUGGUGUGACUGCGUACCUUUUGUAUAAUGGGUCAACGACUUACAUUCAGUAGCGAGCUUAACCGGAUAGGGGAGGCGUAGGGAAACCGAGUCUUAAUAGGGCGAUGAGUUGCUGGGUGUAGACCCGAAACCGAGUGAUCUAUCCAUGGCCAGGUUGAAGGUGCCGUAACAGGUACUGGAGGACCGAACCCACGCAUGUUGCAAAAUGCGGGGAUGAGCUGUGGGUAGGGGUGAAAGGCUAAACAAACUCGGAGAUAGCUGGUUCUCCCCGAAAACUAUUUAGGUAGUGCCUCGAGCAAGACACUGAUGGGGGUAAAGCACUGUUAUGGCUAGGGGGUUAUUGCAACUUACCAACCCAUGGCAAACUCAGAAUACCAUCAAGUGGUUCCUCGGGAGACAGACAGCGGGUGCUAACGUCCGUUGUCAAGAGGGAAACAACCCAGACCGCCGGCUAAGGUCCCAAAUGAUAGAUUAAGUGGUAAACGAAGUGGGAAGGCACAGACAGCCAGGAUGUUGGCUUAGAAGCAGCCAUCAUUUAAAGAAAGCGUAAUAGCUCACUGGUCGAGUCGUCCUGCGCGGAAGAUGUAACGGGGCUCAAAUCUAUAACCGAAGCUGCGGAUGCCGGUUUACCGGCAUGGUAGGGGAGCGUUCUGUAGGCUGAUGAAGGUGCAUUGUAAAGUGUGCUGGAGGUAUCAGAAGUGCGAAUGUUGACAUGAGUAGCGAUAAAGCGGGUGAAAAGCCCGCUCGCCGAAAGCCCAAGGUUUCCUACGCAACGUUCAUCGGCGUAGGGUGAGUCGGCCUCUAAGGCGAGGCAGAAAUGCGUAGUCGAUGGGAAACAGGUUAAUAUUCCUGUACUUGAUUCAAAUGCGAUGUGGGGACGGAGAAGGUUAGGUUGGCAAGCUGUUGGAAUAGCUUGUUUAAGCCGGUAGGUGGAAGACUUAGGCAAAUCCGGGUUUUCUUAACACCGAGAAGUGAUGACGAGUGUCUACGGACACGAAGCAACCGAUACCACGCUUCCAGGAAAAGCCACUAAGCUUCAGUUUGAAUCGAACCGUACCGCAAACCGACACAGGUGGGCAGGAUGAGAAUUCUAAGGCGCUUGAGAGAACUCGGGAGAAGGAACUCGGCAAAUUGAUACCGUAACUUCGGGAGAAGGUAUGCCCUCUAAGGUUAAGGACUUGCUCCGUAAGCCCCGGAGGGUCGCAGAGAAUAGGUGGCUGCGACUGUUUAUUAAAAACACAGCACUCUGCCAACACGAAAGUGGACGUAUAGGGUGUGACGCCUGCCCGGUGCCGGAAGGUUAAUUGAAGAUGUGCAAGCAUCGGAUCGAAGCCCCGGUAAACGGCGGCCGUAACUAUAACGGUCCUAAGGUAGCGAAAUUCCUUGUCGGGUAAGUUCCGACCCGCACGAAUGGCGUAACGAUGGCCACACUGUCUCCUCCCGAGACUCAGCGAAGUUGAAGUGGUUGUGAAGAUGCAAUCUACCCGCUGCUAGACGGAAAGACCCCGUGAACCUUUACUGUAGCUUUGCAUUGGACUUUGAAGUCACUUGUGUAGGAUAGGUGGGAGGCUUGGAAGCAGAGACGCCAGUCUCUGUGGAGUCGUCCUUGAAAUACCACCCUGGUGUCUUUGAGGUUCUAACCCAGACCCGUCAUCCGGGUCGGGGACCGUGCAUGGUAGGCAGUUUGACUGGGGCGGUCUCCUCCCAAAGCGUAACGGAGGAGUUCGAAGGUUACCUAGGUCCGGUCGGAAAUCGGACUGAUAGUGCAAUGGCAAAAGGUAGCUUAACUGCGAGACCGACAAGUCGGGCAGGUGCGAAAGCAGGACAUAGUGAUCCGGUGGUUCUGUAUGGAAGGGCCAUCGCUCAACGGAUAAAAGGUACUCCGGGGAUAACAGGCUGAUUCCGCCCAAGAGUUCAUAUCGACGGCGGAGUUUGGCACCUCGAUGUCGGCUCAUCACAUCCUGGGGCUGUAGUCGGUCCCAAGGGUAUGGCUGUUCGCCAUUUAAAGUGGUACGUGAGCUGGGUUUAAAACGUCGUGAGACAGUUUGGUCCCUAUCUGCAGUGGGCGUUGGAAGUUUGACGGGGGCUGCUCCUAGUACGAGAGGACCGGAGUGGACGAACCUCUGGUGUACCGGUUGUAACGCCAGUUGCAUAGCCGGGUAGCUAAGUUCGGAAGAGAUAAGCGCUGAAAGCAUCUAAGCGCGAAACUCGCCUGAAGAUGAGACUUCCCUUGCGGUUUAACCGCACUAAAGGGUCGUUCGAGACCAGGACGUUGAUAGGUGGGGUGUGGAAGCGCGGUAACGCGUGAAGCUAACCCAUACUAAUUGCCCGUGAGGCUUGACUCUAU
rnacentral:rRNA from 1 species